CUGUGAGCUCGAUGAGUAGGGCGGGACACGUGGUAUCCUGUCUGAAUAUGGGGGGACCAUCCUCCAAGGCUAAAUACUCCUGACUGACCGAUAGUGAACCAGUACCGUGAGGGAAAGGCGAAAAGAACCCCGGCGAGGGGAGUGAAAAAGAACCUGAAACCGUGUACGUACAAGCAGUGGGAGCACGCUUAGGCGUGUGACUGCGUACCUUUUGUAUAAUGGGUCAGCGACUUAUAUUCUGUAGCAAGGUUAACCGAAUAGGGGAGCCGAAGGGAAACCGAGUCUUAACUGGGCGUUAAGUUGCAGGGUAUAGACCCGAAACCCGGUGAUCUAGCCAUGGGCAGGUUGAAGGUUGGGUAACACUAACUGGAGGACCGAACCGACUAAUGUUGAAAAAUUAGCGGAUGACUUGUGGCUGGGGGUGAAAGGCCAAUCAAACCGGGAGAUAGCUGGUUCUCCCCGAAAGCUAUUUAGGUAGCGCCUCGUGAAUUCAUCUCCGGGGGUAGAGCACUGUUUCGGCAAGGGGGUCAUCCCGACUUACCAACCCGAUGCAAACUGCGAAUACCGGAGAAUGUUAUCACGGGAGACACACGGCGGGUGCUAACGUCCGUCGUGAAGAGGGAAACAACCCAGACCGCCAGCUAAGGUCCCAAAGUCAUGGUUAAGUGGGAAACGAUGUGGGAAGGCCCAGACAGCCAGGAUGUUGGCUUAGAAGCAGCCAUCAUUUAAAGAAAGCGUAAUAGCUCACUGGUCGAGUCGGCCUGCGCGGAAGAUGUAACGGGGCUAAACCAUGCACCGAAGCUGCGGCAGCGACGCUUAUGCGUUGUUGGGUAGGGGAGCGUUCUGUAAGCCUGUGAAGGUGUGCUGUGAGGCAUGCUGGAGGUAUCAGAAGUGCGAAUGCUGACAUAAGUAACGAUAAAGCGGGUGAAAAGCCCGCUCGCCGGAAGACCAAGGGUUCCUGUCCAACGUUAAUCGGGGCAGGGUGAGUCGACCCCUAAGGCGAGGCCGAAAGGCGUAGUCGAUGGGAAACAGGUUAAUAUUCCUGUACUUGGUGUUACUGCGAAGGGGGGACGGAGAAGGCUAUGUUGGCCGGGCGACGGUUGUCCCGGUUUAAGCGUGUAGGCUGGUUUUCCAGGCAAAUCCGGAAAAUCAAGGCUGAGGCGUGAUGACGAGGCACUACGGUGCUGAAGCAACAAAUGCCCUGCUUCCAGGAAAAGCCUCUAAGCAUCAGGUAACAUCAAAUCGUACCCCAAACCGACACAGGUGGUCAGGUAGAGAAUACCAAGGCGCUUGAGAGAACUCGGGUGAAGGAACUAGGCAAAAUGGUGCCGUAACUUCGGGAGAAGGCACGCUGAUAUGUAGGUGAAGUCCCUCGCGGAUGGAGCUGAAAUCAGUCGAAGAUACCAGCUGGCUGCAACUGUUUAUUAAAAACACAGCACUGUGCAAACACGAAAGUGGACGUAUACGGUGUGACGCCUGCCCGGUGCCGGAAGGUUAAUUGAUGGGGUUAGCGCAAGCGAAGCUCUUGAUCGAAGCCCCGGUAAACGGCGGCCGUAACUAUAACGGUCCUAAGGUAGCGAAAUUCCUUGUCGGGUAAGUUCCGACCUGCACGAAUGGCGUAAUGAUGGCCAGGCUGUCUCCACCCGAGACUCAGUGAAAUUGAACUCGCUGUGAAGAUGCAGUGUACCCGCGGCAAGACGGAAAGACCCCGUGAACCUUUACUAUAGCUUGACACUGAACAUUGAGCCUUGAUGUGUAGGAUAGGUGGGAGGCUUUGAAGUGUGGACGCCAGUCUGCAUGGAGCCGACCUUGAAAUACCACCCUUUAAUGUUUGAUGUUCUAACGUUGACCCGUAAUCCGGGUUGCGGACAGUGUCUGGUGGGUAGUUUGACUGGGGCGGUCUCCUCCUAAAGAGUAACGGAGGAGCACGAAGGUUGGCUAAUCCUGGUCGGACAUCAGGAGGUUAGUGCAAUGGCAUAAGCCAGCUUGACUGCGAGCGUGACGGCGCGAGCAGGUGCGAAAGCAGGUCAUAGUGAUCCGGUGGUUCUGAAUGGAAGGGCCAUCGCUCAACGGAUAAAAGGUACUCCGGGGAUAACAGGCUGAUACCGCCCAAGAGUUCAUAUCGACGGCGGUGUUUGGCACCUCGAUGUCGGCUCAUCACAUCCUGGGGCUGAAGUAGGUCCCAAGGGUAUGGCUGUUCGCCAUUUAAAGUGGUACGCGAGCUGGGUUUAGAACGUCGUGAGACAGUUCGGUCCCUAUCUGCCGUGGGCGCUGGAGAACUGAGGGGGGCUGCUCCUAGUACGAGAGGACCGGAGUGGACGCAUCACUGGUGUUCGGGUUGUCAUGCCAAUGGCACUGCCCGGUAGCUAAAUGCGGAAGAGAUAAGUGCUGAAAGCAUCUAAGCACGAAACUUGCCCCGAGAUGAGUUCUCCCUGACUCCUUGAGAGUCCUGAAGGAACGUUGAAGACGACGACGUUGAUAGGCCGGGUGUGUAAGCGCAGCGAUGCGUUGAGCUAACCGGUACUAAUGAACCGUGAGGCUUAACCUUACAACGCCGAAG
rnacentral:rRNA from 1 species